CAAGUGGCCCCUUGUUCACAUUCCUGUGGCUCCAGAGGAGGACUGGCCUGGCCUGAAGUCAUCUAUCAUGGCUGGUCAGGCUGGAGGGGCUGUUGGAAUCAGCUUGUCCCACCUUCUCCUUUUCACAGACCCAGAAAUGGAGGUGCAGACAGGGACAGGGCUCUGCUCAAAUACACAGGAGCUCAAAGGAGGGGCAGGACAGCUACCAUGGAAGAGCCUUAUGACAUGCAAAGAGUUUGGCUUCCAUCCAAUACUCAGUCCAGUCCCACAAGGUGAGACUAAAGAGCUACAAAGUGAGUGUUCUGGACACUGUGAGAAUCUACAACUGGAGAAGCCAACAUUGCCUGUGGACUGAGAGCCACAUCCCAGAAAGUGAUGUUCAAAUGUCCAGUGGUCUCAGGCAAAGGCCCAGGCAAUGGAAGCUUCCCAUGGGGCCCUCUACCUCUUCACUGCUCCAGGUGGGCCCAGGCUCAUCAGACCACAGGCCCCCCAUCGCCUUCUCAGGGGCUCCCCCAUGCUAGCCGGGAAAUCAAGGUCAACACAGGCUCCACACUCCCCUGAGUCCUGCACCUACCCCAGGCUUGCUGAGGGCCUCCAGAGGACAGCUUCUGUCCCUCCUACCACAGGUUGGAUCUACAGCCUGACCUGGCCAUUCCUCCAGUGUUUGGAGAAUCAUUGCCUAGCCUUCAUUCAGGAGCCAGAUUGCCUGGGCUAGAAUCCCAGCUCCACCAUUCACCAGCUGUGUAAACUCCCUGGGCCUCAGUUUUCUCACCUGUAAAAUGGGAUUCAUUGGACUGUUAUGGAUUAAAUGAGUUGACGUUUAUAAAGAACUUAGAAGAACACCUUAUUUAUUUGUUAUGUAUAAAAUGAAAUUCCAUCCUGCCUAAUAAAUAUCGGGAACAGCUCUGGGUGGAGAGGUGAUGUGCCAGGGAGGGGUCAUCUCAAGUCUAAGAGAUAGAGGGUGACCCAUCUGGUAGCAGACAGCAGCGGAAGCUGCUUGCCUGGCCUCUCUGGGUUUGAGGGCAGGGAUGUCUCUUCUAGCUUGAACACAGCCUACACUCCAGUUCUGUGACUUCAGGUGGGUUUGGCAUCAAAAGCCUUCAGGGCUCCUCUUAUGUGAUCAUGAGUUUCCUGUUGAGAUCCUUCUGGCUGGAACAAGCUUCUUGAUCCCCCAGAAGUGCCCAGUACUUUUGUCACCUGUGUCUGUGCCUUUGCUUGGGGAUGCUGGGACUACAGAGCAAUAGAUUUUCUCUCUGUCUCACCUUCUGUUUUCUUCUUUGUUCUUCUCCAUCUCAAAAAGGAAGGAGCAAAAUGCCUCUGCUCAGGGGUAGAUUUUUCUGUCCAAGCUGAAUCAGGUUACCUCCCAAUUAUUUGUUAAUGGGAAACAGCCAGUCCUUCCAUCUGGGGGACACACAAUUGUGUAAUAUAUGCCAUCCCAGUUGAUCCUCAAUAACCUGUACAGCAGGCAGAGCUUGGCCUAUGCCACAGAUGCAGAAACUGAGGCUCAAAGGGCCAAGAGAACUUGUGCUCGGCCAGAAAACCUGUUGUAAAGAAUCACCAUCAAUUCUAUGACCUGUUACAUGUGCACAGUCUUUGUAAUUUACAAAGCAUCUUCACAGCCAGUUUCCUAAGGGAGCAUCACAAAACCCCUGCAGAGUAAAACAGGGCAGCUAUUAUUAUUCGUGAUUUACAGAUGGGAAAACAAGGGCUUGGAAGAUCAGAGAUAUUCACGUUGUUCCAUGGCUAACGUUGUUCCAUGGUUCAGUUAAAUUCAGCAAGCAUUUAUUGAGCACCUACUGUAUGUCAGCCCCUGUCCUAGGUCCUGGGGAACUAAAGAGAAUGAGAAAUGGCCCCCCGCUCUUGAGGAGCUAAUUUUUGAGACAAUGUGAUAGAUGCCUUCAGGAUGGGUGAUCACAGGGCUCUGAGGCAGCUCACAGAGAAGCAGGUAUUAGGGAGGCUUCUUGGAAAAGCUGACAUCUGAGCUGAGUCUUAAAGGAUGAAUAGGAAUUGACCAGGUAAGUAAAGGUGAGACAGACAUUUGGAGCUAAGAGACAGGGCUAGGGCUAAGCACAGAGUACGGGUCCAGGUCGUGUGUGCAAAAGCCACAGGUAGUUGGUUCUUACAGAAUAGACACUUUGAAGCCACAUCUCCUGCUACGGCUUGAUCCACUGUAACAAGCAGGAGAAUGACCUCUAUGUAUGUGCAUGCACGUGUGUGUGUGUGUGUGUGAGAGAGAGAGAGAGAGAGAGAGAAAGAGAGAGUAUGUGUGUGUGUGCGCGCGCGCGUGUGUGUGUGUGCAGGCAGGCAGUGGUGGCAGCAUCAUACAUUUAG
rnacentral:lncRNA from 1 species